UAAACGGGUCGGUCAAUUCACGUGAGCUCAAAAUAUUAAAAAGAGCCCAAACCUCCUUCCAAGCAUUGUCCAAGUCGUCUCUGUCUCUUCAACUUCACGAUAACCUCUGCAAUCCAAGUUUCUGUUGCUCUCACUCAUUCAAUUUUGUACUUUAAACUAUCUUAAUAAUAAGAGAUAUUACCCCAUCAAAGCUUUUCACCUCCCCUUCUUUCUGUUCUUAUAUAAACUAAUAAACCCUACAUCAAAAAAAAAAAUUAAAAAAAAAAAAUAACCCUACAUCAAAGCUUUCAUUGAGGAUCUGCGACCUUAAGACAACCAAAUGAAGAUAUGGCUAUGAAAUCGGCUUAUAUCUCCAGCAAGUCUCCGGACACUGUGAUGCAAGGUCUCAUCUAAUUGUGCUCCACUCUACCUCCCUGACCUCAAACUAGGAUUCACUUAUAGUUCAGGAACUUUUUUGCUAUGAAAAGCAAAGAGAUCUAUCGAGUUGCUGAUCUUGGUUUGGCCAUUUGCUUCACGCACAGCUCUGUCCUCUCCGAUCUUGACCACAUGUGCCUCCCUAUUGACGCAGACAGGUUUAGGUUUAACUUACAUGAGGUUUUGAAGCCAACUAUGGACUCAGGGGUGACCUCUAUUAUGUCGUUGGCCACAUGAAACUGCUAAAUGAACAGAUGCUCAUUCAACGCCCGGUCCUUCACGAAGUGGCAAUAGCAACCACACAGUGUGUCUUGAUCCAUUUGCAAACUAAGUAUGUUGCUCUGGUUUUAAAGCUUUCUGUUUGUACAAGUUUGAGUCAAAACUCAUACAAGUUAUAUAUGACUUUUCCUGGAACACCCACCACAUUUCUACAGCGUUCAUUAGGCCCUUUUUGAUCCAUAAUUAAAAGGUUUGGCAACAGUGGAGAGGGAUCCUUCGUGUCAGCCCAUUACAAAGACGGAAUUUGAUAUCGAGAGAAGAAAAGUUACUAAAGAGGCUAUCAUGGAGUUAAUAUCUAGGGAGAUAACUGAGUACCAUACUCAGCUGCUAAUGAAUUCAAGUUUUAUCUAUCAAAAGUCUUAAUAUAAUACUUGUGUUUGCAUCUCUGAGAAAGCAUUGUGUUACACCCAAUCGCUAACAUUGUCAGUGUUGUGCAUUGUUGUUAAUCAAUUUAGGAGACAGUUGCGCAUCUUGAAGAAAAUAGCGGAAAAAAACAGGCCCUGUGGCACCCCUAGAAAAGAAACAUGCCUCUUCCCAGGUAAAUCCGUAUAUUAUUUUUUCUUUUAGUGAUUGUUUGUUUUCACAUGAUCUUAUUUCUUUUAUCUCCUCUCUUACUGACCGGGUAAUAUGCAUUGUUAGCUUAGUUGUAUAUGUACAUUUACAUAAUCAGAGCCUCAUCUACAACCAGCUUGUGUUGAACACUAAUUUCUUUGAGCCUCAUGUCAGCUUAAUUUAUAUUAUGUAUUUUUAUAUUUUGGAACUGAAAAAAUGUAUAUUUGCAUUUGUUUUGCUCUAUGGACAUUGGACUGUACGAGGAUCAACUCCAAAUUGCAUAAGUUAUUGCUUGGUCGGGCGGAUAACCUUUUGGCUUCUUCUUUGUAAAUAAUAUGUAUGGAGCAAGAAAGGGUUGGUGUUGAUUCCGUCAGUCAUCUUGAAAUCAGCUGGAGACUGACCUGCGGCAAUGUUAAUUCUCUUGAAAACCCAAUGUUGAUGUCUAGGCGUUAGCUCUUUAAAUAUAAAAGACUUUGCAGUUCAUAAUCUGUAACUUUAUAUCAUAGAGAUUUGUCACGUACAUUCUGAAAAUUGGUACUGUAAGAUAAGCAACGAACUCAUUGCUA